CAGGAGAGUACGGACGGAGGUCGUCGAUAGCGUAUUUACUAUUUAGCACAGAAGCUGGCUGCUCGUUUGUGACAAGAAGUUGUUAAUGCUGCACAUAGCCAAGUUACUACCGUAUUUUACCGUAGUCAUUAAAAUUAAGUACGGUACACACAAGUCGCAGGUAUAAGCUUGCGAAAAUUGCUCGGCAGUCACUGGUGUGAAUAUUACCAGACUGUCAGCUUAGUAAGUCAUGUUUGAAGAAUACUAACAGAAAUUCCUUACAGAAGUAUAGAAAACUGGUAGAAGCUGAACUUGGAGAAGAUCAGUUUGGAUUUCAAAGGAAUGUUAAACACGUGAGGCAACGCUGACCCUAAGACUUGUCUUAGAAGGAACCAUUGAAAAAUGGCAGGAGCUGAAGCAAUUCCAAACAUCAGUCAUUGAAACUAGAACAAACCCUGUUGAGUGUUGAUCACAGAAUAUUGUCUGGACUGCUCAUCCAGCAGCAACUCUGCUGAUGAUGUGGGAAAAUUGUCUGAACAUGCUGCUGAAAUUCUGGGGAAUUCAAGAAUGGCUCAACCAAGUGUAAAAAUCAAUGACUUGGUGAUUAUUUGUGUGCCAACAACACACAAUGCACACACGUACUUUGUGCGUGAGAUUCAAGAGAUAAAUGGCUCAGAAUUUCUUGUUAGGUUUCUAAGAAAACAGAAAAAUAAGUUUGUGUGGUCAGAAAUGUUGGAUGAAAGUUUAAUAUCAUGUAAGCAAAUAGCUUUAUUACGUAGUAAACCAGAUGUUUUGAAGUGGGGUUUAUGUAUCUCAAAAAAAGGACUUGAAGACUUUUCUCUAAAUUGAAUUGUUUAGGGAGGUUACUGCCAGCUCAUAUUGCAUUAAGUUCAAAUUUAGAUCAACAUGUAUGUAUAAUAUGUUUACCAUAAAUGAUAACUGUGCUAUAGCUUCAUUGUGGAUGAUUAAAAUAUU